rnacentral:lncRNA from 10 species
UGAUACUGAGCAUCCACCUGUGUGAUUGGCACAAUGUGAAAGAGGGGAAAAGAGUGGAGGAGGAAGAGACAGGAGAGCUGAUAUGAAACUCUUGUUAUUUAUGAGGAUCACAAUCAAGAGUUUAAAGACAACCGGUCUCUGCUCCAGCCACACAGGACUUCUUCUAGUACCUUUACUACAUCAUGCCUCCCCUGCCUCAGGCUUCUGCUGGGAUGGAUCGAGCACAUUCACCCUAAAAUUCUGAUUCAGAAGAUCUGAGCCUUCUGAAAAAAAAGCAUUGAGAGCAUAAACCACUCAGAAGAUUUAUAGCUUAAAGCAGAUCACCUUAAGAGAAUGACUGCAAUAGGAAACACAGUGAAAUCAAAAGUACCCUCAUCAACUCACUCUGUCACAAACUUCCUCCAAAUGUGUUAAUGAUUUUCUGAGACACAUUUUCAAAGGAUUAUUUAUAAGAACGAGACAAAAUUAAGCCAAAGUCCAUAUUACGUGAAACUUCAUCUCCUAGGCUUUGUAAAUAAAAGCUAAAGGAUACAGGACACAUCUGACCCAGGAAUCUAAGCAAGUAACAUACUACCUGGCUAAUCCAGUUGAGGUGAAGGUCACAAUACUGAAUUUGAAUAUGCUGUGUUCUCUACUGUAAAUAAAGUAUUUUGUUUAUCUUUUCAUGCCA